UCCAUAGGUUAAUGAGGCGAACCGGGGGAACUGAAACAUCUAAGUACCCCGAGGAAAAGAAAUCAACCGAGAUUCCCCCAGUAGCGGCGAGCGAACGGGGAGCAGCCCAGAGCCUGAAUCAGUGUGUGUGUUAGUGGAAGCGUCUGGAAAGGCGUGCGAUACAGGGUGACAGCCCCGUACACAAAAAUGCACAUGCUGUGAGCUCGAUGAGUAGGGCGGGACACGUGGUAUCCUGUCUGAAUAUGGGGGGACCAUCCUCCAAGGCUAAAUACUCCUGACUGACCGAUAGUGAACCAGUACCGUGAGGGAAAGGCGAAAAGAACCCCGGCGAGGGGAGUGAAAAAGAACCUGAAACCGUGUACGUACAAGCAGUGGGAGCACAGAGCAAUCUGUGUGACUGCGUACCUUUUGUAUAAUGGGUCAGCGACUUAUAUUCUGUAGCAAGGUUAACCGAAUAGGGGAGCCGAAGGGAAACCGAGUCUUAACUGGGCGUUAAGUUGCAGGGUAUAGACCCGAAACCCGGUGAUCUAGCCAUGGGCAGGUUGAAGGUUGGGUAACACUAACUGGAGGACCGAACCGACUAAUGUUGAAAAAUUAGCGGAUGACUUGUGGCUGGGGGUGAAAGGCCAAUCAAACCGGGAGAUAGCUGGUUCUCCCCGAAAGCUAUUUAGGUAGCGCCUCGUGAAUUCAUCUCCGGGGGUAGAGCACUGUUUCGGCAAGGGGGUCAUCCCGACUUACCAACCCGAUGCAAACUGCGAAUACCGGAGAAUGUUAUCACGGGAGACACACGGCGGGUGCUAACGUCCGUCGUGAAGAGGGAAACAACCCAGACCGCCAGCUAAGGUCCCAAAGUCAUGGUUAAGUGGGAAACGAUGUGGGAAGGCCCAGACAGCCAGGAUGUUGGCUUAGAAGCAGCCAUCAUUUAAAGAAAGCGUAAUAGCUCACUGGUCGAGUCGGCCUGCGCGGAAGAUGUAACGGGGCUAAACCAUGCACCGAAGCUGCGGCAGCGACGCUUAUGCGUUGUUGGGUAGGGGAGCGUUCUGUAAGCCUGCGAAGGUGUGCUGUGAGGCAUGCUGGAGGUAUCAGAAGUGCGAAUGCUGACAUAAGUAACGAUAAAGCGGGUGAAAAGCCCGCUCGCCGGAAGACCAAGGGUUCCUGUCCAACGUUAAUCGGGGCAGGGUGAGUCGACCCCUAAGGCGAGGCCGAAAGGCGUAGUCGAUGGGAAACAGGUUAAUAUUCCUGUACUUGGUGUUACUGCGAAGGGGGGACGGAGAAGGCUAUGUUGGCCGGGCGACGGUUGUCCCGGUUUAAGCGUGUAGGCUGGUUUUCCAGGCAAAUCCGGAAAAUCAAGGCUGAGGCGUGAUGACGAGGCACUACGGUGCUGAAGCAACAAAUGCCCUGCUUCCAGGAAAAGCCUCUAAGCAUCAGGUAACAUCAAAUCGUACCCCAAACCGACACAGGUGGUCAGGUAGAGAAUACCAAGGCGCUUGAGAGAACUCGGGUGAAGGAACUAGGCAAAAUGGUGCCGUAACUUCGGGAGAAGGCACGCUGAUAUGUAGGUGAAGUCCCUCGCGGAUGGAGCUGAAAUCAGUCGAAGAUACCAGCUGGCUGCAACUGUUUAUUAAAAACACAGCACUGUGCAAACACGAAAGUGGACGUAUACGGUGUGACGCCUGCCCGGUGCCGGAAGGUUAAUUGAUGGGGUCAGCGCAAGCGAAGCUCUUGAUCGAAGCCCCGGUAAACGGCGGCCGUAACUAUAACGGUCCUAAGGUAGCGAAAUUCCUUGUCGGGUAAGUUCCGACCUGCACGAAUGGCGUAAUGAUGGCCAGGCUGUCUCCACCCGAGACUCAGUGAAAUUGAACUCGCUGUGAAGAUGCAGUGUACCCGCGGCAAGACGGAAAGACCCCGUGAACCUUUACUAUAGCUUGACACUGAACAUUGAGCCUUGAUGUGUAGGAUAGGUGGGAGGCUUUGAAGUGUGGACGCCAGUCUGCAUGGAGCCGACCUUGAAAUACCACCCUUUAAUGUUUGAUGUUCUAACGUUGACCCGUGAUCCGGGUUGCGGACAGUGUCUGGUGGGUAGUUUGACUGGGGCGGUCUCCUCCUAAAGAGUAACGGAGGAGCACGAAGGUUGGCUAAUCCUGGUCGGACAUCAGGAGGUUAGUGCAAUGGCAUAAGCCAGCUUGACUGCGAGCGUGACGGCGCGAGCAGGUGCGAAAGCAGGUCAUAGUGAUCCGGUGGUUCUGAAUGGAAGGGCCAUCGCUCAACGGAUAAAAGGUACUCCGGGGAUAACAGGCUGAUACCGCCCAAGAGUUCAUAUCGACGGCGGUGUUUGGCACCUCGAUGUCGGCUCAUCACAUCCUGGGGCUGAAGUAGGUCCCAAGGGUAUGGCUGUUCGCCAUUUAAAGUGGUACGCGAGCUGGGUUUAGAACGUCGUGAGACAGUUCGGUCCCUAUCUGCCGUGGGCGCUGGAGAACUGAGGGGGGCUGCUCCUAGUACGAGAGGACCGGAGUGGACGCAUCACUGGUGUUCGGGUUGUCAUGCCAAUGGCACUGCCCGGUAGCUAAAUGCGGAAGAGAUAAGUGCUGAAAGCAUCUAAGCA
rnacentral:rRNA from 1 species